GGAAUGUCGAGAUAACAAGCAACAUCUGAAAAGGUCUCCUAGGAGUCAGUGCAGUGCAGCACUGGGUGAGGCUGGAGCACAAGCUGAGAGGCGUGAGGGCUGUGUAUAGUAAGAACCCUGCAAAGGAUGUGCGGACACUCAUGGAAGGAAGGAUCAGCACACUAUGAGAAAGUGUAAUGCGUGCAGGAAGCAAAGGGCAGCUGCUGAAGAGCUCCAUGUAAGAUGUGUCUUCUUCCCCUUUGCCACCUGCCAUAAUUGUACAUUUCCUGAGGCCUCCCAGAAGCCAAGCAGAUGUCAAAAUCAUGUUUCCUGUACAGCCUGUGGAACUGUGAGCCAAUUAAACCUCUUUUCUUCAUAAAUUACCCAGUCUUAGGUAUUUCUUUGUAGCAAUGCAAUCCAAGCA
rnacentral:lncRNA from 1 species